rnacentral:tRNA from 2 species
GCCAAGGUGGCGGAAUGGUAGACGCACCUCGCUUAAAACGAGGAGAGAGCCUAAAAACCCUCAUGUGAGUUCGAGUCUCACCCUUGGUACAA